UUUUAUGGAGAGUUUGAUCCUGGCUCAGGAUGAACGCUGGCGGCGUGCCUAAUACAUGCAAGUCGAGCGAACAGACAAGGAGCUUGCUCCUUUGACGUUAGCGGCGGACGGGUGAGUAACACGUGGGUAACCUACCUAUAAGACUGGGAUAACUUCGGGAAACCGGAGCUAAUACCGGAUAAUAUUUCGAACCGCAUGGUUCGAUAGUGAAAGAUGGUUUUGCUAUCACUUAUAGAUGGACCCGCGCCGUAUUAGCUAGUUGGUAAGGUAACGGCUUACCAAGGCGACGAUACGUAGCCGACCUGAGAGGGUGAUCGGCCACACUGGAACUGAGACACGGUCCAGACUCCUACGGGAGGCAGCAGUAGGGAAUCUUCCGCAAUGGGCGAAAGCCUGACGGAGCAACGCCGCGUGAGUGAUGAAGGUCUUCGGAUCGUAAAACUCUGUUAUUAGGGAAGAACAUACGUGUAAGUAACUGUGCACGUCUUGACGGUACCUAAUCAGAAAGCCACGGCUAACUACGUGCCAGCAGCCGCGGUAAUACGUAGGUGGCAAGCGUUAUCCGGAAUUAUUGGGCGUAAAGCGCGCGUAGGCGGUUUUUUAAGUCUGAUGUGAAAGCCCACGGCUCAACCGUGGAGGGUCAUUGGAAACUGGAAAACUUGAGUGCAGAAGAGGAAAGUGGAAUUCCAUGUGUAGCGGUGAAAUGCGCAGAGAUAUGGAGGAACACCAGUGGCGAAGGCGACUUUCUGGUCUGUAACUGACGCUGAUGUGCGAAAGCGUGGGGAUCAAACAGGAUUAGAUACCCUGGUAGUCCACGCCGUAAACGAUGAGUGCUAAGUGUUAGGGGGUUUCCGCCCCUUAGUGCUGCAGCUAACGCAUUAAGCACUCCGCCUGGGGAGUACGACCGCAAGGUUGAAACUCAAAGGAAUUGACGGGGACCCGCACAAGCGGUGGAGCAUGUGGUUUAAUUCGAAGCAACGCGAAGAACCUUACCAAAUCUUGACAUCCUUUGACAACUCUAGAGAUAGAGCUUUCCCCUUCGGGGGACAAAGUGACAGGUGGUGCAUGGUUGUCGUCAGCUCGUGUCGUGAGAUGUUGGGUUAAGUCCCGCAACGAGCGCAACCCUUAAGCUUAGUUGCCAUCAUUAAGUUGGGCACUCUAAGUUGACUGCCGGUGACAAACCGGAGGAAGGUGGGGAUGACGUCAAAUCAUCAUGCCCCUUAUGAUUUGGGCUACACACGUGCUACAAUGGACAAUACAAAGGGCAGCGAAACCGCGAGGUCAAGCAAAUCCCAUAAAGUUGUUCUCAGUUCGGAUUGUAGUCUGCAACUCGACUACAUGAAGCUGGAAUCGCUAGUAAUCGUAGAUCAGCAUGCUACGGUGAAUACGUUCCCGGGUCUUGUACACACCGCCCGUCACACCACGAGAGUUUGUAACACCCGAAGCCGGUGGAGUAACCAUUUGGAGCUAGCCGUCGAAGGUGGGACAAAUGAUUGGGGUGAAGUCGUAACAAGGUAGCCGUAUCGGAAGGUGCGGCUGGAUCACCUCCUUUCUAA
rnacentral:rRNA from 1 species